UUAAGUUAUUAAGGGCGCACGGUGGAUGCCUUGGCACUAGAAGCCGAUGAAGGACGUUACUAACGACGAUAUGCUUUGGGGAGCUGUAAGUAAGCUUUGAUCCAGAGAUUUCCGAAUGGGGAAACCCAGCAUGAGUUAUGUCAUGUUAUCGAUAUGUGAAUACAUAGCAUAUCAGAAGGCACACCCGGAGAACUGAAACAUCUUAGUACCCGGAGGAAGAGAAAGAAAAUUCGAUUCCCUUAGUAGCGGCGAGCGAAACGGGAAGAGCCCAAACCAACAAGCUUGCUUGUUGGGGUUGUAGGACACUCUAUACGGAGUUACAAAGGACGACAUUAGACGAAUCAUCUGGAAAGAUGAAUCAAAGAAGGUAAUAAUCCUGUAGUCGAAAAUGUUGUCUCUCUUGAGUGGAUCCUGAGUACGACGGAGCACGUGAAAUUCCGUCGGAAUCUGGGAGGACCAUCUCCUAAGGCUAAAUACUCUCUAGUGACCGAUAGUGAACCAGUACCGUGAGGGAAAGGUGAAAAGCACCCCGGAAGGGGAGUGAAAUAGAACCUGAAACCGUGUGCUUACAAGUAGUCAGAGCCCGUUAAUGGGUGAUGGCGUGCCUUUUGUAGAAUGAACCGGCGAGUUACGAUUUGAUGCAAGGUUAAGCAGUAAAUGUGGAGCCGUAGCGAAAGCGAGUCUGAAUAGGGCGUUUAGUAUUUGGUCGUAGACCCGAAACCAGGUGAUCUACCCUUGGUCAGGUUGAAGUUCAGGUAACACUGAAUGGAGGACCGAACCGACUUACGUUGAAAAGUGAGCGGAUGAACUGAGGGUAGCGGAGAAAUUCCAAUCGAACCUGGAGAUAGCUGGUUCUCUCCGAAAUAGCUUUAGGGCUAGCCUCAAGUGAUGAUUAUUGGAGGUAGAGCACUGUUUGGACGAGGGGCCCCUCUCGGGUUACCGAAUUCAGACAAACUCCGAAUGCCAAUUAAUUUAACUUGGGAGUCAGAACAUGGGUGAUAAGGUCCGUGUUCGAAAGGGAAACAGCCCAGACCACCAGCUAAGGUCCCAAAAUAUAUGUUAAGUGGAAAAGGAUGUGGCGUUGCCCAGACAACUAGGAUGUUGGCUUAGAAGCAGCCAUCAUUUAAAGAGUGCGUAAUAGCUCACUAGUCGAGUGACACUGCGCCGAAAAUGUACCGGGGCUAAACAUAUUACCGAAGCUGUGGAUUGUCCUUUGGACAAUGGUAGGAGAGCGUUCUAAGGGCGUUGAAGCAUGAUCGUAAGGACAUGUGGAGCGCUUAGAAGUGAGAAUGCCGGUGUGAGUAGCGAAAGACGGGUGAGAAUCCCGUCCACCGAUUGACUAAGGUUUCCAGAGGAAGGCUCGUCCGCUCUGGGUUAGUCGGGUCCUAAGCUGAGGCCGACAGGCGUAGGCGAUGGAUAACAGGUUGAUAUUCCUGUACCACCUAUAAUCGUUUUAAUCGAUGGGGGGACGCAGUAGGAUAGGCGAAGCGUGCGAUUGGAUUGCACGUCUAAGCAGUAAGGCUGAGUAUUAGGCAAAUCCGGUACUCGUUAAGGCUGAGCUGUGAUGGGGAGAAGACGUUGUGUCUUCGAGUCGUUGAUUUCACACUGCCGAGAAAAGCCUCUAGAUAGAAAAUAGGUGCCCGUACCGCAAACCGACACAGGUAGUCAAGAUGAGAAUUCUAAGGUGAGCGAGCGAACUCUCGUUAAGGAACUCGGCAAAAUGACCCCGUAACUUCGGGAGAAGGGGUGCUCUUUAGGGUUAACGCCCAGAAGAGCCGCAGUGAAUAGGCCCAAGCGACUGUUUAUCAAAAACACAGGUCUCUGCUAAACCGUAAGGUGAUGUAUAGGGGCUGACGCCUGCCCGGUGCUGGAAGGUUAAGAGGAGUGGUUAGCUUCUGCGAAGCUACGAAUCGAAGCCCCAGUAAACGGCGGCCGUAACUAUAACGGUCCUAAGGUAGCGAAAUUCCUUGUCGGGUAAGUUCCGACCCGCACGAAAGGCGUAACGAUUUGGGCACUGUCUCAACGAGAGACUCGGUGAAAUCAUAGUACCUGUGAAGAUGCAGGUUACCCGCGACAGGACGGAAAGACCCCGUGGAGCUUUACUGUAGCCUGAUAUUGAAAUUCGGCACAGCUUGUACAGGAUAGGUAGGAGCCUUUGAAACGUGAGCGCUAGCUUACGUGGAGGCGCUGGUGGGAUACUACCCUAGCUGUGUUGGCUUUCUAACCUGUACCACUUAUCGUGGUGGGAGACAGUGUCAGGCGGGCAGUUUGACUGGGGCGGUCGCCUCCUAAAAGGUAACGGAGGCGCUCAAAGGUUCCCUCAGAAUGGUUGGAAAUCAUUCAUAGAGUGUAAAGGCAUAAGGGAGCUUGACUGCGAGACCUACAAGUCGAGCAGGGUCGAAAGACGGACUUAGUGAUCCGGUGGUUCCGCAUGGAAGGGCCAUCGCUCAACGGAUAAAAGCUACCCCGGGGAUAACAGGCUUAUCUCCCCCAAGAGUUCACAUCGACGGGGAGGUUUGGCACCUCGAUGUCGGCUCAUCGCAUCCUGGGGCUGUAGUCGGUCCCAAGGGUUGGGCUGUUCGCCCAUUAAAGCGGUACGCGAGCUGGGUUCAGAACGUCGUGAGACAGUUCGGUCCCUAUCCGUCGUGGGCGUAGGAAAUUUGAGAGGAGCUGUCCUUAGUACGAGAGGACCGGGAUGGACAUACCUCUGGUGUACCAGUUGUCGUGCCAACGGCAUAGCUGGGUAGCUAUGUGUGGACGGGAUAAGUGCUGAAAGCAUCUAAGCAUGAAGCCCCCCUCAAGAUGAGAUUUCCCAACUUCGGUUAUAAGAUCCCUCAAAGAUGAUGAGGUUAAUAGGUUCGAGGUGGAAGCAUGGUGACAUGUGGAGCUGACGAAUACUAAUCGAUCGAAGACUUAAUCAA
rnacentral:rRNA from 1 species